UCCAAGCAUGAGGCCCUCUACAAUAGUCUGAGAGAGAGAGAGAGGGAGGGAGAGAGAGAGAGAGAGAGAGAGAGAGAGAGAGAGAGAGGAGAGAGAGAGAGAGAGAGAGAGAGAGAGGGAUGGACGGACAAAUGGAAAGUAAAUACAAGACAAAAAUACAGACAGAAUUCCCCUGAGACAGAGUGUCUCACCAGUAAAGAAAAGCACAGAUGAUCCCGACAGUCACCAGCAGCUGAACCAUCAAGGUCAAGUAGACUUUCCUUAUGAAACCUGAGUAGAAAAAAAAGACAGACAGAUAUAGAGAGACAAGACAGGAAGAGAGUAGGACAGACAGGAGGGAGACAGACAACAACAACAGGAGGUGAGGAGCUGAGGCAGGGUGCCGCCGCAGAGAUCAGGCAAACAAUUUUCAAUUUCAAAUCAAUUUCAGAAAAACACUGCCAAGCAAAUGAGGGAGUAAAUUUUCCUCAACCUUUUUCAGCUCUGACAAUGCAAAUAAAAUACACACAUAGUUCUAUCUUUACUCCGUUUAAUCCUCCCCCCAUGUCUCUCUCCUUCUAUCCCUUACCUCGUCUGAUGGUACUGUCAGAAAAGACGCUUUCCUCAAUGCCGCUGGAGUAGUCGGGCGGGGGAUUGAGGUCUUGGGCGCCUUCAGCUGCGGCCUCAUGAUGGACCAUGUUAUUGUAGGUGGUAGGAGGGGAAACCACUGCAAUAUUCCCCUUCCCCACCUGGCACAUUAAAAACAACCAAAACAACAA